rnacentral:lncRNA from 1 species
CUGAGUGGUUGGUCAAAUUUGACUCUUCCUUCUUUAAAGCUUUGACAUCAAUUUUAAUGGAGCCACCAUUGGAUUGGAUGGGGUUCAAGUUGAUGUUUGACUCUAAGGGGAACAUCAUUCAUUGUCUUGUAGUCACCACAGAUAGCGAUGAUAUGACACACUAAAUUAUCUGUUCUUGAGAGGAGGAAAAAUAAAAAUAAAAAUCAUCAGUUAACACCAUCAAUAUCAUCUCAAAUCUGAAUGUAAAAUAUCGAUUUAAAAAUAUAAAUCAAUUGACAUUAAAUGUAAAACUAUAUCGUCUGUCUCACGAACAUAAAUUUCAUGCAUUCUCAUAAAAUUACAUAAAUAAAUAAUAAUAAUAAUAAUAAUUAUUAUUAUUAUUAUUAUAUAUAUAUAUAUUAAAAGUUAAAAAUUUAAAUUAAAAUGUUCAUAAUUUAAUUAAGAAUACUUGUAUAUAUAUGAAACUCAUGUAUUUUGUCCUAGCUACUUGGAAAGCUAUAUGGCUUGCCAUUGUUUGUAAUCAUACAAUUUAAGUUUUAAUUAUCUGUGAUGGUGGAAUUAAUCGACACGAACUUCAAAAUAGAAUCUUGAGGUUAAGUAUACUCUAAAAGAUCUCCUCAGUAUUAUGUUUUCCCAAAUUGCACAAAAGGAUUGUAAGUGUGAUCAUACCAUAUCAGUUAAUUGCACCUUGUUGGAAGAUAUAUUUAGUUAGUUCUUGUUUCAAUCUUUGUUAGUCCAAGUUGACAUUGCUAAUGCCUUUUGACUUGAACUUGAGUAAUUUAUUCACCCCCAACUGAUAAGUUGAUCGAGUCUGAUGCCCGAGAAAAAUGACCACUUGAUUCUGACAUGGACGGCAUUCAGUGAUCAGGUCCUACCCAGCUUGAAUUUUCAUACCUCUCUCUCUCUCUCUCUCAAUUAAUGCAUCCUCAUCAUAAAACUCAAUCGGACUUGUUGAAGUUUACUUUGUUAUCAUAUAUGGUGCUUGGAAAUUAAUAUAAUCUAGACACUAAAGUUAUUAAGUUCCAAAGAAAGACACUUAUUAUGAACCAAAACAAACACGACUAUUUUGAAGAUGAGGAUAUCUUUCAAUUGGUUAAACUUCUUGUAUCAAAAGUCUCUAUUUUUAUGAAGAAGAAACACAAAAAUACUCUUAACAAGAAAUAAGUUGAAGACCUAUAUAAGAGUUCAAAUUCUCUAAAAAAGAAUUAUUCUAGUUAGUAGGUUAUUAAUUUGGGAGAGAUCUUGUUGAGAUUUUAAUUACUAGAGUUUGAGAUUGGAUACCAUGAAGCUUACUCACUUAAAGUAUGGUCUAACUCCAAUAUACAUCAUUCAAAUAUUUUUAAUUCUUAACAACAUAAGAUUAUUCAUGAUAGUAUCUCAAAAUCUAUCUCACAUAUAAUAUAUUUUUCUCUUUAUAUGUAACUAAAAAUUAAACGACAAUGAAGAUGUCAGCUAACUUAGUUUAUAGAUGUAUUAAUAAUUCAUCAUAACGUCCAGGGUUUAAAUUUCAUCUUCGUCAUUUACCUUUUUUGUAAAAAUUUUAAAAAUAGAAAACAAAUUGCAAAUUUGACUUGGACUAUCUAGUUCAUGUUGUGACCAAAUGUAUAUGGAAUGGGAAACUAAUACCACCCAAAACAUAACUCACUUGAUCCUAUUAAAUUCUUGAUAAUAUAUCUCGAUCUCUUUCUCAUAGAUGAAUAUUUAUCCAUCAAUUUUCUUUUCAUUUUCCUAGGCAAGAAAUUAUGCUUAAAAUUUGCAUUCCUGACAACAAUAAUUCACAGUUCUAGGGUUUAAUAAGGAGUGAUUUUGCAUGUCCUAAAAGAAAAUCUAGAGCUUUUGUUUUAGAAAUUUAAUUUUCCAUAUAAUUAUACAUUUUUAAAAGGGUUAAACAACUAAUUAAUUCAUUACCUAUCUGAGUUUAUCUUUUAUACAUUUUCUUUUGUAAAGUCCUUAUCAUCUAAAACUUCAUUAUUAUAUGUAAAAUAAAUAAAUAACAUUUUAUCUCUUUUCUUUUGUAAAGUCCUUAUCAAACAAUCUAAUUAACAUCAUCUGAAAUUUAUCUAAUUGACAUCUUUUAAAAUUUAUCUAACGAAAUUUCAAAUCCUAUCCUACAAAUGGAUUUGAUAAAUCACUAUAGCACCAAUAUUUUAUCGGGAGACUGGCUCAAGUUGCAAGGCCCCAAGUGUAACACAGAGUAGCUGUACGCAGCAAGAAGAAGAAGAAGGUUGAUACUCUGACAACGCUGUCACGUUAUCUAGCGGAAAAAGAGCAGGCACGUACCCCUUCCCCUCGGACUUCGCCACCUCUCCUCCGGGUGCAACGUACCUGUCCCCGACUGUUGAAGACAGCGAGGUUACCGGAGCCGCUAUCAACCACGAAGCUCGUGCUGUUGACCAG